rnacentral:rRNA from 1 species
ACUGGUGCGCGAGAUGAGUAUUCUAAGGCGCUUGAGAGAACUCAGGAGAAGGAACUCGGCAAAUUGACACCGUAACUUCGGAAGAAGGUGUGCCCUAUUAGUGUGAAGUGAACAACGGAGCAUGAAUGGGUUGCAAAAAAUCGGUGGCUGCGACUGUUUAUUAAAAACACAGCACUCUGCAAACACGAAAGUGGACGUAUAGGGUGUGACGCCUGCCCGGUGCUGGAAGAUUAAAUGAUGGGGUGCAAGCUCUUGAUUGAAGUCCCAGUAAACGGCGGCCGUAACUAUAACGGUCCUAAGGUAGCGAAAUUCCUUGUCGGGUAAGUUCCGACCUGCACGAAUGGCGUAACGAUGGCCACACUGUCUCCUCCUGAGACUCAGCGAAGUUGAAAUGUUUGUGAUGAUGCAAUCUCCCCGCGGAAAGACGGAAAGACCCCAUGAACCUUUACUGUAGCUUUGUAUUGGACUUUGAACAGAUCUGUGUAGGAUAGGCGGGAGGCUUUGAAGCAGGGUCGCUAGAUCUUGUGGAGCCAACGUUGAAAUACCACCCUGGUGUGUUUGAGGUUCUAACCUAGGUCCAUUAUCUGGAUCGGGGACAGUGCAUGGUAGGCAGUUUGACUGGGGCGGUCUCCUCCCAAAGCGUAACGGAGGAGUUCGAAGGUACGCUAGUUACGGUCGGACAUCGUGACGAUAGUGCAAUGGCAUAAGCGUGCUUAACUGCGAGACUGACAAGUCGAGCAGAUGCGAAAGCAGGACAUAGUGAUCCGGUGGUUCUGUAUGGAAGGGCCAUCGCUCAACGGAUAAAAGGUACUCUGGGGAUAACAGGCUGAUACCGCCCAAGAGUUCAUAUCGACGGCGGUGUUUGGCACCUCGAUGUCGGCUCAUCUCAUCCUGGGGCUGUAGCCGGUCCCAAGGGUAUGGCUGUUCGCCAUUUAAAGAGGUACGUGAGCUGGGUUUAAAACGUCGUGAGACAGUUUAGUCCCUAUCUUCCGUGGGCGCUGCAGAUUUGAGGAAGCCUGCUCCUAGUACGAGAGGACCGGAGUGGACACACCUCUGGUGUAUCGGUUGUCACGCCAGUGGCAUUGCCGAGUAGCUAAGUGUGGAAGAGAUAACCGCUGAAAGCAUCUAAGCGGGAAACUCGUUUCAAGAUGAGAUCUGCCGGGGCCUUGAGCCCCCUGAAGAGUCGUUCAAGACCAGGACGUUGAUAGGUCAGGUGUGGAAGCGCAGUAAUGCGUUAAGCUAACUGAUACUAAUUGCUCGUGCGGCUUGACCCU